CGCAGCAACGCCGCGUGGGGGAUGAAGGCCUUCGGGUUGUAAACCCCUUYCAGGAGGGAAGAAAUUGACGGUACCUCCAGAAGAAGCCCCGGCCAACUACGUGCCAGCAGCCGCGGUAAUACGUAGGGGGCGAGCGUUGUCCGGAAUCAUUGGGCGUAAAGAGCUCGUAGGCGGUUCAGCAAGUCGGCGGUGAAAGUCCGAGGAUCAACCUCGGAAUUGCCGUCGAUACUGCUGUGACUCGAGUCCGGUAGAGGAGAAUGGAAUUCCCGGUGUAGCGGUGAAAUGCGCAGAUAUCGGGAGGAACACCAGUAGCGAAGGCGGUUCUCUGGGCCGGCACUGACGCUGAGGAGCGAAAGCGUGGGUAGCAAACAGGAUUAGAUACCCUGGUAGUCCACGCCGUAAACGUUGGACACUAGGUGUGGCGUCCCGAUCAACGGAUGCCGUGCCGAAGCUAACGCAUUAAGUGUCCCGCCUGGGGAGUACGGCCGCAAGGCUAAAACUCAAAGGAAUUGACGGGUCCCCGCACAAGCGGCGGAGCAUGCGGCUUAAUUCGAUGCAACCCGAAGAACCUUACCUGGACUUGACAUCACGGGAAAAGCCGUAGAAAUACGGUGUCCGAAAGGGCCCGUGACAGGUGGUGCAUGGCUGUCGUCAGCUCGUGUCGUGAGAUGUUGGGUUAAGUCCCGCAACGAGCGCAACCCUCGUCCUAUGUUGCCAGCG
rnacentral:rRNA from 1 species